AGCAGAGUGGCACAGUGGUAGCAUGCUGGACCCAUAACCCAGAGGUCCGUGGAUAGAACACACCUCAGCAG